GGCCUAAGUCAGUAACUUCUUUAAAAGAAUUUAGGAAUUUGUAUUUUUUUGUUGUUCAAGAUUUACAUACACUGUAAAAAAAAAAAAUCUCUGCAAGUGUGUGUGGCUGUGCCAGAGGAUGGCUGAGCUCUUUGCAAUACCUUAGAAGAGCCCUAGGGGUCCUCAGAGCUCAAGCUGAGACACACUUACCUGGCCUCGAGGGACUGCUUGUAGUUAGGCUCUCCGUUGCUGAUCGCGCCCCCUGGUGGAAAGGUCUGGAAUACAGCAUUCCCAACUGAAAGGCUUCGCGUGGUUUGGUUUGAACGUGAUUCACUCAAGGAUGUCAUCUUCCUGCUGAUUUGUAUGCCUGGUAGUUUUUCACUGGAUGCUCUACAUGAGAUCAAAAUAUGCCACUCCAAAACAUGCCACUUUGGCAUACAAUUAUUUCAGAUUCAACAGAUGCAGAAAGAAGCCAUCUCAGAGCUUCCCUUAUCUCAUGAGAAGCAGAAACUUCUGAGAAAUGAGGACUGCUGUAAAUCUCCUCUUCUAGGGAAGUUUUAUGGCCACAGAGAAGAUGAAGUUGGCGCCAAGAUGGAUCUGCACAAACAAACCUUACUCCAUUAAUUUCCCUCAUAUAUUUACUUUCCCAUGGUUUACUGCCUUUGGGAGCCUAAGAUUUUUUUUUUUUCCUUUGACUUGUCACUUCUCUACGAAUUUAUUGUUCUUUGUUAAGAUGCAUAAACCCACAUUCUAACCACCUCUUUGAGUUUUUCAUCAUAUCACUGAGUUUCUCCUGGGUACACGCCCACUGUACAUGCUAAUAAACUAUUUGUUUUUCCCUUGUUAA